rnacentral:lncRNA from 1 species
UUCCAUAUAUAGCAUAAAGGUAUUCUUCACUCUGCCUUUUUAGGCGUUUAGUAUUUUUCUCUAGCCUCUCCAAAUUGUCUUCAUCAAAACCUUCUUCAACUUAUGGCAUCUUGCCAUUGAGGUUCACGAGAGUCGUGGUACCUUUUCACGUACCUCUUAGGGGUGAGAAGGUUGUUGCCACUAUCGGGCUAAUUUACAUCAGUUUUAGUUUGUGUCUGAUUUGACACAUAGUUUGUUUUUCGGAUUCUUACUCUCAUUGAGAGUAUGUUAUAGAUCAAGUCUUAUAUCAGUACAAGUGUGAGAGAACUAGAUAUAUGAACAAGUAGUAGAUUUAAGAUGUUGAUCAAAGGAAACACAAUUGCUUCGUCUUCUUUGGAAUGUUGAAUUUCAUCAUAGCGUUUACUUCUUUUAUAUCAUUGAUUUCCAUCAGUACAGAGAAUCACUCGUUUGUCAAGCUUAUUAAAGGCAAUUGAUUACUUGCUUUAUUAAUCGUAUCAGAGGUAGACGAGCUAAGAAUAACUGAAACAUAAUGUAUCAUGUAUUUCUAGAGUCACUAGAACUAGAACAUUGCUUGCGUUAUAAGAGUCAGUCAAAACACAACAUUGCUUUGCAUCGCUGGAAGCGUGUGUUACAACACUUGCGUCAAAAUCAAACAAAUUUAAUGAAGUAGAGUCUUGUUGUUCCUUUGUCUUCAUACAAUCACCAGAGGAUAUAACUUAAAUCAAGGUAACAUUUGACUUUGAACUAAUACUUGCAAUAUUACGUCUUCCUCAUAUAGUAGACAUAGUUACUUGUAUAUUAGGAUAUAAUAUUCUUUGUCUAUAAGAAACAUUUAGAUUAUUGUCUCUAUUUUACUUGGAACUUAUGCUACUCUAAUAUGAAUAGUCAUUAAUAUAACUCUUUGUGUUCUAACUUAAUAUGCACACUUUGCAAAUACAGAUACGAGAUGAUUAUUCUUUAUUUAUUUGUUUUUGUUAUCUUAAAACAUCUACCAGAGAAUUGUAGCGAAAUCCCAUUUUGCACUAACACACCCUAUUAAAGUUUCUAACUCAUAGUUUAGCUCACUAAAUUUUAAGUGUUCUCGUUAGUCAAUUAUUAUACAAAGGGCUUCACUCACAUCUAACAAGUCUUAAGAUGAUUUGUGGGAAAUACGAUUUUUACGUUUGAUUGACAUUAUUUUACACUCAUGAAAUCAAGCGGAGCAUAAAAUAAAAGUUACAUAAUUAACUAAAAAUUUAGGAAUAAAAACGAAGAUAAAAACGACACCAAAUCGAUAGUUAGAUAAAGUAUCACCGACGCGUCGAAGCACUGACAAGAUUCGACGUCAACUUUAUCUAAAUGUGUGAAUAAGUAGAGCUUCUUGAAAGUUUCGACGAGAGGAAUCCAAAAAUGAUAUCCUUUUUUUCCAAUGGUGAAUACAGAGGCCGACAAAGGAUAAUACAGUCCGUCCAAAUAAGAAAAUGUGACUGUUUCUUAAAAGAGAAUAUGAGUAGAGCUUCUUCAAAGUUUCAACGAGAAGAAUCAACAAACGAUGUCCAUUUUUUUCAAUGAUCAACACGGAGGCCAAAAAAGGAUAAUACAGUCCGUCCAUUUUUACAAAGAUAAUUUUUAAGACAAUAAAAGAGAAUAUGCAUACCGAAACUAUAUUAUAUUAUUUUUACCCAAGGACAAGAAAACUUGCUUGAUUGGAGAAAUUUUUUUUUGGUUUUUUUUUUAUUCCUAAAUUCAAUUCAAGUCCCCAUCUUUUUGUUUCUUUAACAAAAAAUUUAACUUAAUUGAAAAAAAAAUCAUAGCUGAAUUAAAAAAUUAAAUUUGAACGGACACUAUCUUAAAUAAGUGUUACGUUUUAAAUCGUAAUUUCUAUAUCAAUAUUUACAUGUCCUUUUGAAGGUGCUUUUGCCAAAAGGUUUGCCUUAAUUUAAUUUGAAAUUUGACUCUUGGCACAAAAUAAGGACAUCUUAAUUCCAUAUAUAUAUAGAGAAUACUACUUUAUUAUUUAGCAAUAUUGCAUUGUUGUAAUACUCCAAGAAGUGACAUGGGUUACCCCAAACAUGCAACUUACUUUUAUAAAAACGGAUUAGGCAGAAUAAGUUUGAAUAAUAAAUAAAUAAAUAAGAUGCGAAAAAUAGAAGAAGAUAAAUGAGACGUAUAUUUUUAUAAUAGUUCACAACAAAUUGUUCCUAUUUCUAGUUCCCUUUACAAAGAGAUUUUACUUCAGUAAAGUCGGGGACUUAAUCCACUAUUUCCAUAUAUAGCAUAAAAGUAUUAUUUACUCUACCUUUUUAGGCUUUUAGUAUUUUUCUCUAGCCUCUCCAGGUUGUCUUAAUCAAAAUCUUCUUCAACUUUAUGGCAUCUUGCGAUUGAGGUUCACGAGAGUCGUGGUACCUUUUCACGUACCUCUUAGGGGUGAGAAGGUUUUUGCCACUAUCGGGCUAAUUUACAUCAGUUUUAGUUUGUGUCUGAUUUGACACAAAGUUUGUUUUUCGGAUUCUAACUCUCAUUGAGAGUAUGUUAUAGAUCAAGUCCUAUAUUAUUACAAGUGUGAGAGAACUAGAUAUAUGAACAAGUAGUAGAUUCAAGAUGUUGAUCAAAGGAAAAACAAUUGCUUCGUCUUCUUUGGAAUGUUGAAUUUCAUCAUAGCAUUUACUUCUUUUAUAUCAUUGAUUUCCUUCAGUGCAGAGAAUCACUCGUUUGUCAAGCUUAUUAAAGGCAAUUGAUUACUUGCUUUAUCAAUCGUAUUAGAGGUAGACGAGCUGAGAUUAACUGAAACAUAAUGUAUCAUGUAUUUUUAGAGUCACUAGAACUAGAACAUUGCUUGUGUUAUAAGAGUCAGUCAAAACGCAACAUUGCUUUGCGUCGAUGGAAGCGUGUGUUACAACACUUUGGUCAAAAUCAAACAAAUUGAAUGAAGUAGAGUCUUGUUAUUCCUCUGUCUUCGUCCAAUCACCAGAGGAUAUAACUUAAAUCAAGGUAACAUUUGAGUUUGAACUAAUACUUGCAAUAUUAUGUCUUCCUCCAAUAGUAGACAUAGUUACUUGUAUAUUAGGAUAUAAUAGUCUGUAUAUAAGAAACACUUAGAUUAUUGUCUCUAUUUUACUUGGAACUUAUGUUACUCUAAGAUGAAUAGUCAUUAAUAUAACUCUUUGUGUUCUAACUUAAUAUGCACACUUUGCAAAUACAGAUGCAUGACGAUUAUUCUUUAUUUGUUUGUUUUUGUUAUCUUAAAACAUCUACCAGAGGAUUGUAGCAAAAACCCAUUUUGGACUAACACACCCUAUAAAAGUUUCUAACUCAUAUUUUAAACUCACUAAAUUUUAAGUGUUCUCGUUAGUCGAUUAUUAUACAAAGGACUUCAGUCACAUGUAGUAAGUCUUAAGAUGAUUUGUGGGAAAUACGAUGUUUACGUUCCAUUGACUUAUUUUACACUCAUGAAUUCAAACUCAAGCUCACAUCAUACAUUAAUUGACACUUUAGUAAAAUAUGUGAAUCACCAAAAGUUCCACACCAACGCCAGCCCUACAACGUGCAAUAGAUGUGUCUGAAUGUGUCUGAAAUCAACGAAGAAUUCAUAGGAUCACCAAAAUACGACUGGAAAAACAAGCAGAGCAUAAAAUCAAAGUUACAUAAUUAACUAAAAAUUAAGGAGUAAGAACGAAGAUAAAAACGGCACCAAACAGAUAGUUAGAUAAAGUAUCACUGACGCGCCGAGGCACAUACAAGAUCUGACGUCAACUUUAUCGAAUUAUGCGAAUCAGUAGAGCUUCUUGAAAGUUUCGACGAGAGGAAUCCAAAAACGAUAUCAUUUUUUUUCCAAUGAUGAAUACGGAGGUCGAAAAAGGAAAAUAUAGUCCGUCUAAAUAAGAAAAUGUGAUUGUCUCUUAAAAGAGAAUAUGAGUAGAGCUUCUUCAAAGUUUCAACGAGAAGAAUCAAAAAACGCUGUCCAUUUUUUUCAAUGAUCAACACGAAGGCCAAAAAAGAAAAUUAAGUCCGUCCAUUUUUACAAAGAUUAUUUUUUAGACAAUAAAAGAGAAUAUGCAACCGAAACUAUAUUAUAUUAUUUUUACCCAAGAACAAGAAAACUUGCUUGAUUGGAGAAAUUUUUUUUUUUUUGGUGUUUUUUUUAUUCCUAAAUUAAAUUUAAGUCCCCAUCUUUUUGUUUCUUUAAUAAAAUUUUAACUUAAUUAAUAACAAAAACAAAAAAAUUCAUAGCUAAAUUAAAAAAUUAAAUUUGAACGGACACUAUCUAAAUAAGUGUUACGUUUUAAAUCGUAAUUUCUAUAUCAAUAUUUACAUGUCCUUUUGAAGUUGCUUUUGCCAAAAGGUUUGCCUUAAUUUAAUUUGAAAUUUGACUCAUGGCCCAAAAAAAGGACAUCUUCCUUCCAUAUAUAUAGAGAAUACUACUUUAUUAUUUAGCAACAUUGCAUUGUAAUCCUCCAAGAAGUGACAUGGCUUACUCAAAUUCAUACGUGUUUCUUGGUUUGGGACUUUUUAUUAUUCUCUCUUCUCAAGUUCUAGCUCAAGUUCCUCUUCUUCUUCCUCCUCCACCUCCACCUCCUCCUCCUACAAUUAUUUGUAAGUCAUGCUAGACUAUAAUGUAUUUUUCUACGCAAAUGCACAUGUUUAAAAAAAUAUGAUUCAAUAUAUGUAUAAAUAUAACACACAUUCUAAUGAAACAUAUUAAAAUGAAAUUAAUAUAGUACUUAAGUUCUAGUUCAAUGGGUAAAUGGAAAUAAUGUUAGGUUAAACAUUUUGUCUUAGAUUUUAACCUAAGACUUCAGAGUUGCGUGUGUUAAUUAUGAUGGAAUUUACCAUUUCUUCUAAAAUAAAAUAAAAAUGAUAUUAUUAUAAAACUAGGACCCUCAAAUUAAACUUAUUAAAAUAAUAUUAAUAUUAAACUUAUAACUUUAUAAUUAUUUGGUUUCAAUUUUAGAUCCUGAAAUUGUAUUAUAUUUUAUUUUAACUCUUAUAAGUUUUUUUUUAUUUGAAUUAAGUCCUUGCAAAUAUAAAAAAUGUCGUUUUAAAUUCUUAAGUUAGUUUAUGGGAUCACAUGGUGCGACAUUAUAGGAUCACAUUUGAUCUCAAGGACUAAAUAUAAACUUUUUAAAAUUUGCUGAGAUUAAAAUCAAACAAAAACACUUAGAAUGACUAAAACCAAAAAAUAAUAUAACUGCAUGAACUAAAAUCAUAUUCAGACCUCAAACUUUUAUUAAGGUAUACGAUUUUUUAAGAAGUCAGAAAAUCAUACUUAUAAGGUUUAUAUAUAAAUUUUUAUUUCACUUUUACAUUUCUUGAUAUAAUGCAUUCUCCAAUAGAUAUUUUAAACACAAUAUGGAAACCCCAAUGACAACUGUGCAUAGUUAUGCUGGCCUGAUGCAUGAAGUGACACUUCUAGAAGCUGAAGCUGAUCGGAUGACUUUCCGUGCAAAUUUGAUAAAGAAGAAUGUUGCUAAAUCUAUUCAUCAAAGCCGUAAAUUUCUAAAUCAUUUAUUUGAUGAAGAAGAUAAAGUUUCCAAAAGUAAUGAGGAAGAUAAAGUUUCCAUAACUGAUAAGGAAGAUAAAGUUUCCAGAAAUGACAAGGAAGACAAAAUUUCAAAUAAUGAAGAGAAAAACAAAGUUUUAAAAAAUAAGGAGAAAGAGAAGGUUUUUAAAAGUGACAAGGAAGAUAAAGUUUUCAAAAAUGAUAAUAAAAAUACAAUUACAAAUUAAAAAUAAUGAAAAAAAAAUGAAGUUUACAAAUGUGACGAAGAAGAUAAACUUUCUUUAAUAUUUCCCAUGUAUUAAUAGCAUGCAAGAAUGUAUAUAUUAACUGUAUAAAUAAAAGGGUGAAAGUAGACAUUAUACUUAUAACUUGCCAUAUAUAUACAUCAAAACAUGAGUUAUAUAUAGUUCAUAUCAAUAUUUGGGUAAUGAUAUAUUGAUAUCAGAUGUCAAACAUUACAAACUUACACCUUUAAUACUUUGAAGAAGAUGAAUUAAAUUAUAUCAAUCCAAUUUGUCGAAUAAUCUUGAAUUAUGUAGAUGAUUUUAUAUACAAAACUUCAAACAAUUUAGAAACUCGUUGGUAAAAGUUUUAGUAAUAGAUAUUGUAACAUUCUGAUUUAAUUCAAACUAUUAUUAAUGAAAUUACAAACGUGAAAAAUGUGGAUUAUUAUUAUUUAAAACAAGGCUAAAAUAAAAUAAUUAUUUGAUCUAAACCAAAUAAUAAAUUUUCUUUUAUUGACUUCCACAAUAAAAACAUAGUCAUUACAAUUAAUUACAAACAAACAAGUAGUUGUGUAAAUAAAAGAACGAAAUCCUAAAGUCAAGACUCUUGGGUUUUUUCUACCCAAGAGAAAACCUAGUUGGUCACAAUUUUGAAUGCUUGUGAAAAAUUCUCAAGGCUAACACCAGUGUUAAAAAGACAAAUCAGAGCCUCCAAUUACACUAUCGUUUUACAAUUUUAAUAAUUUCCACAUAAUUUAUAUCCUUUUUUUUUAUUCAGAUAACUUAUAUACUUUCAUAAAAAUAGAGUUUGUGAUUAUCAAAUAUAUAAAUUUUCUCUUAAAUCAUAGUUAAUAUUAUAGACCCGGAACAGUUGUAAAAUGGUGAUUAGUUCUACUUUGAUUAGUAAUAAUUUUUUCAUCUCUAAAAAAAUUGUUAAGUUUUUAUGAUUAAAUUUUUGCAAAACAUUGUUUCUAUCAUAUUAUUUCUAGAGUAAAAAUUCUUAUUUAAUUAAAAACUCUAUAAUUUUUUUUCAAUAUGAUGUAUUCUUCUUAUAACCUUACAUAUUUACAAAAUUAAUACAUUAAUAAAUUAUUUAUAUCUUAUUCAAAAAAAUUUAAACCCCAUGCAAAACAUGGGUAAUAGUCUAAUAAUAUAUUAAAAUAGACUCCUAAAUACUAUUGUAACACAUCAUCUGAUAUUGUGUCAUUUCAUUCAAUAAUUGUCACCACAACAAAAAUUUGAUGUGCCAUAUGUAAUAUUAUAUAUAACUAUUCAUGUGCCAUCAUUAUUGGUAAUAAUUUUUCUAUGGUUUUAACUCCAAUUAAUAUAUUGGUCCUUUCAAUGCUUAAAUAUAUAAAUGACAACAAUUUGUGGAAGUUAUUUUGUAUCAUAUAUUGCUUAUGUUUAUUUGGAAAUUGGAAGACAAUGACACAUAAACUUUGGUCUCUAUGCAACUUUUCUAUUUAUAAGUUGUUUAGAUUGAUUGGGGACAAUUUUGUAAUUUCUAGCAUCUAAUUUUUUAUUCUUUUUAUAUUUAUUUUACGUGCUUUUUAUAAUUAAUGUUUAUAUAUUUGAGUUUUAAUUCUAACUAUAAUAUGUUAUGAUAUCUUUAUGAUCAAUUAUUGUGUAUACAUUUGGUGCAAAUACUUUUGAACAAAUUGUGCUUAUAUUUUAUUAUGAAUUAAGUUACGUGUUGUAAUACCCCAAAUUUUAUAAUAAAUAUUUUCUUAAUGAAAUAGAAUUUUGGAUAAUUAAUUUGGUGUUAAAACUAUUUUAGAAUAUAUGUGGAUAAAUCUUGUGACUAACUUUCAUUAUAUGGGAGCUUUCUAUGAUACGCUAAUUUUGUAUAUAUUUGAAUAAAUAAGUGAUAUAAAUAACAAAUAUAAUAUUUUAUAAUUUUAUAUAUUUUUAUAUUUUUUUCUAUAAAUAAUAGUAUUUUAGUGUAAAUAUUUUAAAGAAUAAGAUUUUAGGCGACUCUACAUGUAUAUGUGUGUUCGCAGUUAAUGUGAUAUUUUCUUGUAUGUUUGACUGAUGUUAAGUGUGCACAUAUUUAAUUAUUUAUAAACAUAUGUUAUUUUAAUUAUUUAUUUUACAAAUAAUUAUCUUGAUAUAUUAAUAUUUUUAAUAUUUAUUUUCUUUAUUUUUAUAUAGUUGCACAUAUUUAUUUUUAUUUAUUUUAUCAUUUUGACUAUUCUAUAAAGAUAAUGUUUUUUUAUGUGAUUAUUUUGAAAGAUGUUAUAGUAGUAAUUAUAGUUAUUAUUUUGAAUAUGAGCGUUUUGGUUAAAAUUCGAUUUAUUAUUUUAAGGAUAGAUAAUAUUAUGUUAAAAUGAGUAUUUUGGAGAAAAGUUUCUAGAAAAGUAAAAUAAACUAUUUAUUUAUUGUAGGCUUUUAGAAAUACUAGAAAAAUGAAUUUUGGACAAAACGACUGUUUACACCCCUAUUUUCUACUUAUGCAUAUUACUUUAGGCUAUUACUUGUUGGACUUUCUCUUUCCUACACCUGCGAAAUUGCUCAUUACACCUCUAUUCCUGCAAAAGACACAUACUAGACUCUCGUGUGUUGGGUCUUACAGCCUGUUUUACUCAUGUAAAAUUUAUCAUGUAACCCCAAAAAAAAAAAUUAAAAUGUCAAAAAUACCCUCAAUUAUUUUUUUAUGAUUUCACACAAUCUAAGGUAAAUUUUUUUCACCCUUUUUUUAUUUCCGGAGUCGUAAAAAAGUUUUCCGGUAUGUUCAAUUUUUCUGGUAACUAUCGGAAUACUUGUAAUAAGAUUUCGGGUACGUAAGGUAUAUUCCGGAAAACAUAAAACGAAGUUUUCCGGUACAAAAGGGAAAAGUUGUGUACCGGAAAACUUAAUUGACAAGUUAUCCGGUACAAAAUUGGCUUCCGGAAAACUUCAUAUACAAGUUUUUCGGUACAUAACUAUUUUUUAAAAUUUAUUUUUAAGUUUUUUGAAUUUUAUUAAUUUAUUUUAAAUGUUAACGGAUAUGGAUAAACUAUUACUAUUAAUGGAUAAAACAUGCGUCGAUACUACAAAUAUUUUUGACACAUAUCAGGUAAGAAUAAAUAUAAUUAAUAUUGUAAAAAUAUAUUAUUGUUAUUAAUUAUAAUUUAUUUUAUUUCAGAUAUUUGAUACAAGGGAUGCUGUUGUGAAUUGGGUAAAAGAAAUCGGUAUAAAAAUUAAUGUUAUUGUUAUUAUCAGAAGAUCAGAUAUAGAGACGGGAGAGAGAGUAAGGAGAAAUAAAUUACUAUUAAUUUGUGACAAAGGGAGAAAAUACAAGUGUGCUGCUACUUCAACUCGAAGUUCAACAAAAAAGUGUGAUUGUCCUUUCAAGCUUAGAUCAAAACCAUUAAAAGAUGGUUCAGGAUGGAUAGUUAAAGUAAUUUGUGGAAUUCACAUCCAUGAAUUACCUGAUACUUUGGAGGGGCAUGCAUAUGUUGGACGCUUAGAUGAAGAAGAAAGAAAGCAUGUUCAUGACUUAACAAAAUAUAAUGGAGCAUCGAGACACAUAUUACUCUCAUUGAAAGACCGAGAUAAGAGUAAUGUUACUAAAAUAUCAUAAAUAUAUAAAUAGAGGAGUAUGAUUCGAUUGAACGUGAGAGGUAAUAGAACAAAGAUGCAACAUUUAUUCACGUUAAUUGAAGAUGAAAAAUAUGUGUGUCGGAAUAGAAAGUGUGAAGACACUGAUGUUAUGAAAGAUAUUUUUUUGGGCACAUCUUGAUUCAGUGAAGACUUUGAUGUUAUGAGAGAUAUUCUUUACUCUUACACGGUAAAGUUCUAAAUCAAAAGACUGAGCUCUGAUACCAAUUGAAGUAGUUGGAAAAUACAAGACACGUGAGUUUGAAUUGUGUUUGCCAUUUUUGAAGGCUAUUUAGACAUCCUUACACAAAUUGUUCUUUAUCAAAACAUGCAACUUACUUUUAUAAAAAAAGGUUUAGACAGAGUAAGGUUGAAUAAUAAAUAAAUAAAUAAAUAAAUAAAUAAAUAAAUAAAUAAGAUGCGAAAAAUAGAAGAAGAUAAAAGAGACAUAUUUUUAUAAUAGUUCACAACAAAUAGUUCCUAUAUCUAGCACUCCCUUUACAAAGAGAUUUUACCUUAGCACAGUCGAUGACUUAAUCCACUAUUUCCAUAAAUAACAUAAAAGUAUUCUUUACUCUGCCUUUUUAGGCUUUUAGUAUUUUUCUCUAGCCUCUACAGGUUGUCUCCAUCAAAACCUUCUUCAACUUUCUGGCAUCUUGCCAUUAAGAUUCAUGAGAGUCGUGGUACCUUUUCACGUACCUCUUAGGGGUGAGAAGGUUGUUGUCUGAUUUGACACAAAGUUUGUUUUUCGAAUUCUAACUCUAAUUGAGAGGGUGUUACAGAUCAACUCCUCUAUCAGUACAAGUGUCAGAAAACAAGAUAUAUGAACAAGUAGUAGAUUCUAGAUGUUGAUCAGAUGAUGCACAAUUGCUUCGUCUUCUUUGGAAUGUCGAAUUUCAUCAUAGCAUUUACUUCUUUUAUAUCAUUGAUUUCCUUCAGUGCAUACGACAUAAGUUAGAAUUAUAUGAUCAGAAACUUGAAAUGAUUAUCAGUGGCAGAGAAUCACUCGCUUGUCAAGCUUAUUAGAGGCAAUUGAUUACUUGCUUUAUCAAUCGUAUCAGAGGUAGACGAGCCGAGAAUAGCUGAAACAUAAUGUAUCAUGUAUUUAUAGAGUCACUAGAACUAGAACAUUGCUUGUGUUAUAAGAGUCAGUCAAAACACAACAUUGCUUUGCGUCGUUGGAAGCGUGUGUUACAACACUUGCGUCAAAAUCAAACAAAUUGAAUGAAGUAGAGUCUUGUUGUUCCUCAGUCUUCGUACAAUCACCAGAGGAUAUAACUUAAAUCAAGGUAACAUUUGACUUUGAACUAAUACUUGCAAUAUUACGUUUUCCUCCAAUAGUAGACAUAGUUACUUGUGUAAUAGGAUAUAAUAUUCUUUGUGCAUAAGAAACACUUAGAUUAUUGUCUCUAUUUUACUUAGAACUUAUGCUACUCUAAUAUGAAUAGUCAUUAAUAUAACUCUUUGUGUUCUAACUUAAUAUGCACACUAUGCAAAUACAGACACGAGAUGAUUAUUCUUUAUUUGUUUGUUUUUGUUAUCUUAAAAUAUCUAUCAGAGGAUUGUAGCGAAAUCCCAUUUUGCACUAACACACCCUAUUAAAGUUUCUAACUCAUAGUUUAAGCUCACCAAAUUUUAAGUGUUCUCGUUAGUCAAUUAUUAUACAAAGGGCUUCACUCACAUCUAACAAGUCUUAAGAUGAUUUGUGGGAAAUACGAUUUUCACGUUUGAUUGACAUUAUUUUACACUCAUGAAAUCAAGCGGAGCAUAAUAUUAAAGUAACAUAAUUAACUAAAAAGUUAGGAAUAAAAACGAAGAUAAAAACGACACCAAAUCGAUAGUUAGAUAAAGUAUCACCGAUGCGUCGAAGCACUGACAAGAUCCGACGUCAACUUUAUCGAAAUAUGCGAAUCAGUAGAGCUGAUUGAAAGUUUCGACGAGAGGAAUCCAAAAACGAUAUCAUUUUUUUCCAAUGAUGAAUACGGAAGUCGAAAAAGGAAAGUAUUGUCCGUCUAAAUAAGAAAAUGUGAUUGUUUCUUAAAAGAGAAUAUGAGUAUAGCUUCUUCAAAGUUUCAACGAGAAAAAUCAAAAAACGAUGUCCAUUUUUUUCAAUGAUCAACACAUAGGCCGAAAAAAAAAAUACAGUCCGUCCAUUUUUACAAAGAUUAUUUUUAAGACAAUAAAAGAGAAUAUGCAUACCGAAACUAUAUUAUAUUAUUUUUACCCAAGGACAAGAAAACAUGCAUGAUUGGAGAAAAUUUUUUUGGUUUUUUUUUAUUCCUAAAUUAAAUUCAAGUCCCCAUCUUUUUGUUUCUUUAACAAAAAAUUUAACUUAAUUGAAAAAAAAAAAUCAUAGCUGAAUUAAAAAAUUAUAUUUGAACGGACACUAUCUAAAUAAGUGUUACGUUUUAAAUCGUAAUUUCUAUAUCAAUAUUUACAUGUCCUUUUGAAGUUGCUUUUGCCAAAAGGUUUGCCUUAAUUUAAUUUGAAAUUUGACUCUUGGCCCAAAAAAAGGACAUCUUCUUUCCAUAUACAUAGAGAAUACUACUUUAUUAUUUAGCAAUAUUGCAUUGUUGUAAUACUACAAGAAGUGACAUGGGUUACUCAAAACAUGCAAGUUACUUUUAUAAAAAAGGAUUAGGCAGAGUAAGGUUGAAUAAUAAAUAAAUAAAUAAAUAAAUAAAUAAAUAAGAUGCGAAAAAUAGAAGAAGAUAAAGGAGACGUAUAUUUUUAUAAUAGUUCACAACAAAUUGUUCCUAUUUCUAUUUCUCCCUUUCAAAAAGAUUUUACCUCAGUAAAGUCGAGGACUUAAUCCAUUAUUUCCAUAUAUAGCAUAAAGGUAUUCUUUACUCUGCCUUUUUAGGCUUUUAGUAUUUUUCUCUAGCCUCUCCAGAUUGUCUUCAUCAAAACCUUCUUCAACUUAUGGCAUCUUGCCAUUGAGGUUCACGAGAGUCGUGGUACCUUUUCACGUACCUCUUAGGGGUGAGAAGGUUGUUGUCACUAUCGGGCUAAUUUACAUCAGUUUUAGUUUGUGUCUGAUUUGACACAAAGUUUGUUUUUCGGAUUCUAA